GUGUGGAGCAGAGUGAGGUGACUCCAAAGACCAGCAGCAGUUUGAACUCAGCAGUCCUUGGAGAAAGACGUGUGUUCAGUGAUGGAAGCAGAUAUUGAGGAGUCCACCUUAACCAUUCGCUUUGACUUAUUUCUAUCUCCCAUCCGGCUGCUACUUAAUCCCUUGGCGCUCCUAGCCUGGUAGUAUCUUCAGAAAUGGAGAUGCAGGGUAGUGUUGCAGAAAGAGCACUAGACUAGGGGUCAGGGCUUUCAUCCCAGGUUUGCCGCCUGACUUGAGUAAGUUCACUCCCUUCUCAAUGCCCGUGACAUUAGACCAGACCAUAUAUAAGCAGAUUAUAGUAAAAACACGCACAGGGCUGGAAUUGGAAUUGGAAGGAUAAAAUACCUCUAAGGGCAUUGGAUGUAUUUCCCAUAAUGCAGAUAUUAUAUUACAGAUCUAUAACUUCAUUGAAAAAUAAAGAUGAUAGAAUGAAAAUGUAUUUGGUAUUAUUUUAUCAUAAUUUUGUAACAGGAGUUAAUCUUUCUUGUAUCUAUUUCUUUAGUGAGAGAAGUGGAAGUUACUUUUCCUAGUGCCAGGGUAGAAAAUGGCUACGUGGACUUCCCCAGGGGAGUUUUCCCUUAGGAGGAUACAUAUCAAUUUACACUGUAGAAGACAGGUUUUGCUGGAGCCUCUGAGCAUCACACUGCAGACUACUGAACACAAGCAUUGUUUGGUUUCCUCUUUCACUGCAUGGUGUCCAACCUGUUUUUUGAAAAGGAAGAGGGAGAAUGGAGGACUCAAUUUUUGAAUUUCAAAUGAAAUUACACCGGGGUCAUUACAUUUUUCUCUAAGAGUUCCACGAACUAUAGAGCUGCCCUACCACAUCAGAUAGGACUACCCUGGAGCCUCAAAGCUGACCAGAAUCAGGUUUGGUCCAUAUUGUCAAGGCAAAUAUUUUCUGGAAGCCAGGACUAACCCUAUGACUGGGUUCAGUAGGGGCCACCAUGGAGGUAAGAUUAAAGGCAAGUCAAUCUUAACCAUGCUAUACCCCUUUUCUCAUUCCCUUGACACUUGCACCCUGUAAAAAAAAAAAAAAUGAAAAGAAAAAGCCCUAGAGAAGACAUUUUUAAUCUGAUUGUGCUACCUGAAUGAGAUAGCUCUUUAAUCCUCAGUAGACUAGCAACGAUCAGUUUAUUCCCUUAGCCAACAGCCCGCUAAAGAUUGGGGGUGGGGAUUCACAGAUCCGGAAGGCUCAGCAUCUUGGGGAACACCGAAUCAGUUCUUGCUCUCUCUCAGCUUCUUCCCCACUGUAUACAAACUUCCACUGCCCACAGCAUGAUGUCCAGUUUCAAGAAUCUUUGUCUGCUGGACCAGGAUGAGCUGAGUCCCCCAAGCAGGGUCUGGUUCUCACUCAUCUGCAGGUAUGCCCAGCACUGAGCACAGUUAAUGGCACAUAAGCCAAAUGGAGCUCAUGAAUGAAUGGCAACUGAGUGAAAAUGUAACCCAUAGAAAACACAGGCACCAUAUGUGCAAGUCUUGGUACAGUCUCAUGUCAAAGUAAAAAAAAAAAUUAACU